rnacentral:lncRNA from 1 species
CCGCGGCACUUCCGAUAACCACAAUGCUGGCAGAGCCAAACUACAGUUUUUGUGUUCACACUAGAGCUUUGGAUCCAGUUAGUUUGGUAAGUAAACGGCAGGAACUGCACUGGAGUACCAUUAAUGUGAUCUGCAAUAGGUGCGGAAGCAAUCUGGCAUAAUUUGUAGAAAUAACUCAAUUUCGAAGACAUGUAUUUUAUUACAUGUGUUAUGGUCUGCGACCUGUUGUGCUGUACCUGUUUGUUUGGUUUUUUUGUCUCUUCUCAGUUCUCACUUUCAUGCUCUUAGGCACCACCUUCCUUGGAUUUUAUUGGCUAUCUUUGCUGUCAUUUAUCAUUAUGACAUCACGUUUCCUUUGCCAAUCAUGCUCUCGUCCAAGAGGUUUAAAAGGAGAACGUCCACAGGAAGAGAGAGAGUCGUUUUCCUGUUGUGAUUGUUGUGUGUGUUUUUGGCUUUGCUGCUCUCUGAUCUGAUGUCUUUGUCAGCUCGCUGUUGGUUUGGAGGACAAGGAAGGAGUGGAAGAGUUUAGUAAGUCACGUGACCUACAUACCUGCACGUAGUGAUCUGGGAUGUAUUAGAAACACUAGUUUAGUUGUGUGCGCUUUUUUUGUAUGUUUUGGUUUUAGUGCAUUUAGUGUUAGUUUAUGCGCUUUUGCGUUGAAGAUUUUUCUUUUCUUUUUCUUUAAUAGUUUAGGGGUUUGGGAAUUUAGUUAGUUAUUGGGUUUCUUUUUCUUAUGUUUUAUUUUAUGAUUUAAGCGCCACUUUAACUUCCCUUCUCUCCUUUGUCUUGUUUGUUUAACUUGUUGUUCCUUGGGGAAAUAAAUAAUUUCUUGUAGUGCAGUUUGUGUCAUGUGUUCCAUUGCCACCUCUUUCCCCGGCUUAUUUCUUUAAGAUGUCAACUUAAUGUUACCUCCUUUAAUCCCUAGACAAAAAGUUACAUCAGAGACGUAACACAUGGCUCUCUGAAAUGCGGAUCUGAUUGGUCAGUUGCGACAUUCUAAGACCAGUUAUUUAAUAAAAAUGACUGUACAUUCAGUUUAUAAAUAACUCACUGUGUUUACAUUAAUGACCC